rnacentral:rRNA from 1 species
AACAAACGCUGGCGGCGUGCCUAACACAUGCAAGUCGUACGAGAAAGUCCGCUUCGGUGGGCAAGUAAAGUGGCGCACGGGUGAGUAACGCGUGGAUAAUCUACCCUUAAGUUGGGAAUAACUCAUCGAAAGGUGGGCUAAUACCGAAUGAUACUGCACAACUACUGUUAUGCAGUCAAAGAAGGCCUCUGUUUACAAGCUUUUGCUGAAGGAUGAGUCCGCGUACCAUUAGCUAGUUGGUAGGGUAAUGGCCUACCAAGGCUACGAUGGUUAGCUGGUCUGAGAGGAUGAUCAGCCACACUGGAACUGAGACACGGUCCAGACUCCUACGGGUGGCAG